rnacentral:rRNA from 1 species
GAUGAACGCUAGCGGCAGGCCUAAUACAUGCAAGUCGAACGGGCAGUAGCAAUACUGCUAGUGGCGCACGGGUGCGUAACACGUAACUAACCUACCUAUAACUGGGGGAUAGCCCGCCGAAAGGCGGAUUAAUACCGCAUAAGCUGUUUGAGUGGCAUCACUCGAUUAGUAAAGAUUUAUUGGUUAUAGAUGGGGUUGCGGGUCAUUAGCUAGUUGGUAAGGUAACGGCUUACCAAGGCGACGAUGACUAGGGGAGCUGAGAGGCUGGUCCCCCACACGGGCACUGAGAUACGGGCCCGACUCCUACGGGAGGCAGCAGUAGGGAAUAUUGGGCAAUGGGCGAGAGCCUGACCCAGCCAUGCCGCGUGCAGGAAGAAGGCUUUCUGAGUCGUAAACUGCUUUUGACAGGGAAGAAUAAGGAGUACGUGUACUCUGAUGACGGUACCUGCAGAAUAAGCACCGGCUAACUCCGUGCCAGCCGCCGCAGUAAAAC